AUGAAGACCUUGUUCAUCCUCGCUCUCCUCACCCUCGAGGGGACCAACGCUGUUGCGCAGUUGGACACUACCUGUAACCAGGGCUCCGAGCAAUGUCAGCAGCAGCAACAACCAUGGCAACAAUGGCAGCAGCAGAUGGACCCAUGUGUGCAAUUCCUGCGGCACCAAUGCAGCACAGUGACACUGCCAUUUGUGCAGUCGCGUAUGUGGCAACUUAGCAGUUGCCAUAUAAUGCGACACCAGUGCUGCCAGCAGCUAGCGCAGAUCCCAGAACAGUUCAGGUGCCAUGCUAUCCACAACGUGGCUCAAGCCAUCAUGCAGCCGCAGCCCCAACAGCAGUGGCAGGGCAUGUACCAGCCCCAGCAACAAGCUCCGCUUGAGAUCAUGAUGAUGUCGCUUCAGAUCUUGCCGUCGAUGUGCAGCGUGUACGUCCCGGCAUACUGCCAGGUGUAG
rnacentral:rRNA from 1 species